rnacentral:rRNA from 1 species
CCUACGGGGGGCUGCAGUCGAGAAUCUUCGGCAAUGGGGGCAACCCUGACCGAGCGACGCCGCGUGGUGGAUGAAGGCCUUCGGGUUGUAAACACCUGUUGGGGGGGAACAAAACUGAGUGAACCCCUGAGGAAGCACGGGCUAAGUUCGUGCCAGCAGCCGCGGUAAGACGAACCGUGCGAACGUUACUCGGAAUCACUGGGCUUAAAGAGCACGUAGGCGGCAAUCUAAGUCAGAGGUGAAAUACUAUCGGCUCAACCGUAGAACUGCCUCUGAUACUGGACUGCUUGAGGGAGAACGGGGAAAUCGGAACUUCCGGUGGAGCGGUGAAAUGUGUUGAUAUCGGAAGGAACGCCGGUGGCGAAAGCGGAUUUCUGGGUCUCUUCUGACGCUGAGGUGCGAAAGCUAGGGUAGCGAACGGGAUUAGAUACCCCAGUAGUC